GGGGAAUAUUGCACAAUGGGCGAAAGCCUGAUGCAGCAACGCCGCGUGAGUGAAGAAGGUUUUCGGAUUGUAAAGCUCUGUCAUCUGGGACGAUAAUGACGGUACCAGAUGAGGAAGCCACGGCUAACUACGUGCCAGCAGCCGCGGUAAUACGUAGGUGGCAAGCGUUGUCCGGAAUUACUGGGCGUAAAGGGUGCGCAGGCGGACAUUUAAGUGAGAUGUGAAAUACCCGGGCUUAACCCGGGCAGUGCAUUUCAAACUGGGUGUCUGGAGUGCAGGAGAGGAGAACGGAAUUCCUAGUGUAGCGGUGAAAUGCGUAGAGAUUAGGAAGAACACCAGUGGCGAAGGCGGUUCUCUGGACUGUAACUGACGCUGAGGCACGAAAGCGUGGGUAGCAAAC
rnacentral:rRNA from 1 species